CCUACGGGAGGCAGCAGUGGGGAAUCUUCCGCAAUGGGCGCAAGCCUGACGGAGCAACGCCGCGUGAAUGAAGAAGGUCCUCGGAUCGUAAAGUUCUGUUCUUAGGGAAGAAGGCUUAGGUUGGGAAUAAUGACUGAAGGUGACGGUACCUAUGGAGAAAGCUCCGGCUAACUACGUGCCAGCAGCCGCUGUAAUACGUAGGGAGGGAGCGUUGUCUGGAAUUACUGGGCGUAAAGGGCGCGUAGGCGGGCACUUAAGUUCGAUGUGAAAACUCCGGGCUUAACCUGGAGACUGCAUUUCAAACUGGGUUUCUUGAGGGCAGGAGCGGCAAGUUGCAUUCCUAGUGUAGCGGUGA
rnacentral:rRNA from 1 species